rnacentral:rRNA from 1 species
CAAAAAANANGGCUUUUUUGGGUGUAAUAUAAAGUUUGACCUGCCCACUGAAAAAUUUUUUUUUUGAAGGGCCGCGGUAUUUUGACCGUGCGAAGGUAGCAUAAUCAUUAGUCUUUUAAUUGAAGGCUUGUAUGAAUGGUUUGACGAGGAAUUGACUGUCUUUGAAUAAUUAAUAGAAUUUAACUUUUAAGUUAAAAGGCUUAAAUGUAGAUGAAGGACGAGAAGACCCUAUAGAGCUUUAUAUUAAUGAAUAUUUUUUUAAUAAUGUGGUUUAUGUUAUUUUUAAUAUUUAUAGUAUUUUGUUGGGGUGACAUUAAGAUAAAUUUAACUCUUAUAGUAUAAGACAUUAAUAUAUGAAUAAUUGAUCCAUUAUUAGUGAUUAUAAGAUUAAGUUACCUUAGGGAUAACAGCGUAAUUUUUUUUGAGAGUUCUUAUCAAUAAAAAAGAUUGCGACCUCGAUGUUGGAUUAAGGAAUAUAAUUAGGUGCAGUUGUUUAAAGUAUAGUCUGUYCGACCUUUAAAUCCUUACCAUGAAUCUGAAUUCAAC